CAUCCACCAACACUCUCCUGCCAUGGUAAAGAUCUAUAAAAGCUGAAGCAAAUGUUGAUUUACAGACUAAAAAUUCUCCCACCUAAAAGCCUGUGUCUUUCCGUUACAAAAAAAGGGAAUUGAGGAUGUUCUUACAUGGAUUUUUGAACUUCAGAGUCACUCCUGAUUUUUUUGUUUUUUCCCUUUCCUGGGAAUUUUUGCACACGUAGCAGUUUUUCAAAUGGAAGGUGGAGGGGGAACCUUGAUCAGAUGCUUCUUCGAAAGACUUUUCACAGCAAUUCAUCUGUCAAGUGUGGAAGACAGGCUAUAAUCUGAAGCCUGCCUGGCUGCAUAGCAAUUGUAUUAUCUGGUUGAAUUUCCUGGCCACACUGGAAUGAAGUAAUUUGCACCUGAGUGGGGACAUCCCCACCAACUGCCCAGAGAGAACCGUGGUGGAGCACAGAACAUCCUGAGCUGGAAGGGACCCCCAAGGAUCACCAGCUCCAUGGAGAGCUUGACUUUAAUACCAAUGCUUCCACAUUUUUUAAUAUCCUCCAUCAGGGCACUCCUUUCCAAGGACAAUUACAACAAUAAUUUCUACUUGCUUAUUUAAUUGGAGCUGCUAUUUUCUAGUUUCUUCUGAAGUCCCCUAGAUCUGGUGAGAGAUGAACCGGAGAGCUGCUCCCAAUGGAUCCUGGACUCCGGGAGUGAUGGAUCUGCUGGGACAGCCCUGGGAGGGACCUGGGCAAGGACAAGAGGAAACGGCCUCAAGUUACACCAGG